rnacentral:tRNA from 1 species
GGAGAUAGUUCAGGGGCAGAGUGACUGCCUAGCAUGCAGGAGGUCCUGGGUUCAAUCUCCAGUACCUCUA